rnacentral:rRNA from 1 species
GAUGAACGCUGGCGGCGUGCUUAACACAUGCAAGUCGAACGAAGCACUUUAUUUGAUUUCCUUCGGGACUGAUUAUUUUGUGACUGAGUGGCGGACGGGUGAGUAACGCGUGGGUAACCUGCCUUGUACAGGGGGAUAACAGUUGGAAACGGCUGCUAAUACCGCAUAAGCGCACAGCAUCGCAUGAUGCAGUGUGAAAAACUCCGGUGGUAUAAGAUGGACCCGCGUUGGAUUAGCUAGUUGGUGAGGUAACGGCCCACCAAGGCGACGAUCCAUAGCCGACCUGAGAGGGUGACCGGCCACAUUGGGACUGAGACACGGCCCAAACUCCUACGGGAGGCAGCAGUGGGGAAUAUUGCACAAUGGGCGAAAGACUGAUGCAGCGACGCCGCGUGAGCGAAGAAGUAUUUCGGUAUGUAAAGCUCUAUCAGCAGGGAAGAUAAUGACGGUACCUGACGAAGAAGCACCGGCUAAAUACGUG